rnacentral:lncRNA from 1 species
GGCUUUCUGGCUCGAAGCCCCGUUAGAGGUGUGGCUCCCAGAGGCCUGGCUCAGGCUUCUGAGGGUCUGGAAGGGGUUAGAGGGAGGAGGUCGCCGGCCGGAAGUGAGACGAAGUAAUCCCCAGAGCAAGGUUGGGGGAUGGCACCUCCGACCGGGUUCUCAGCGGUACUGUCAUCAUAGCGACAGAUGCGAGCAGAGCCGGGAUGGUCCAGGAGCCCCAAGCCUGCCUAGACCUCUAUUUCCCGCAUCCUGGGAACCUGGUGCCCAAAUGCUCCCGCCCAGCCGUGGGUCAGAUUGGAAACAGAUGUUGCCUCCGACUCCCUCUGAGCGCCGCCUAGCCUGCUUCAAGCCUGGUGGAUGGUAGAGGAAUCCCUCCUCUAUGCUCCAAAAUGCAGGACGGCUCAUCACAAACUUAAAGACCCUCUGGUAUACCUGGGACUCCAGCCUUUCUAGGCUAGAGUUCCCUCCUACCCAGUUGGCACAAGACACAGUGACCUAUAGACGACAACCCUGGGGCGGGUGCCUGCCCUGACAGCCAUGUAGCAAGUGAGAGGCUGGCCAGUUCCCAACAAAAUGCUGUCUGGGCCCAGGAAUGCAAAGGCUCAGGCAACCCACAGGAUAUAUCUACCUGCCCAAGUUCUGGAACACUCUGGACUGCCCAGCCCACAGGGGACAGUAGCCAAGGGCUAGCAAGCCCAGGCCUUUUCUUCGUCAAGAAUAUGGAAUUGACAUCCUGCCCCCUUUUCACCAUGGUAACCACACUGGGCCCGGACACAGCCACACCAUAAAAGUCAGGGAAAUCUGGGCCAGGUGUCCUUCUCCACAGGUCAACCUAACCUAAGGAAACCCAACCACCCUGACACAGCACUGGUGACCCUACAUGUUAACUGCUGAUCACAGCACUGCCUCCACAUCAGGCAUCCUCUGAUGGAGCAGCUGAGAUCUGUCACUAUCACCCCUCCAGCCCCACCCCCAACAUCAGCACAGGGCCAGGAUGAGAGCCACACCAUUCCUGCCCUUGUCACAACAGUGGCAUGUCAACAUUUGU